AUUGAACGCUGGCGGCGUGCUUAACACAUGCAAGUCGAUCGGUAACAGGUGUAGCAAUACAUGCUGACGAGAGGCGGACGGGUGAGUAAUGCUUGGGAAUCUGCCUAUUAGUGGGGGACAACCCGGGGAAACUCGGGCUAAUACCGCAUACGCUCUACGGAGGAAAGCCGGGGACCGCAAGGCCUGGCGCUAAUAGAUGAGCCCAAGUCGGAUUAGCUAGUUGGUAGGGUAACGGCCUACCAAGGCGACAAUCCGUAGCUGGUCUGAGAGGACGACCAGCCACACCGGAACUGAGACACGGUCCGGACUCCUACGGGAGGCAGCAGUGGGGAAUAUUGGACAAUGGGGGCAACCCUGAUCCAGCGACGCCGCGUGGGUGAAGAAGGCCUGCGGGUUGUAAA
rnacentral:rRNA from 1 species